rnacentral:rRNA from 1 species
UACGAAGGGGGCUAGCGUUGUUCGGAUUUACUGGGCGUAAAGCGCACGUAGGCGGAUAUUUAAGUCAGGGGUGAAAUCCCGGGGCUCAACCCCGGAACUGCCUUUGAUACUGGGUAUCUCGAGUCCGAGAGAGGUGAGUGGAAUUCCGAGUGUAGAGGUGAAAUUCGUAGAUAUUCGGAGGAACACCAGUGGCGAAGGCGGCUACCUGGCCUGUUCUUGACGCUGAGGCGCGAAAGCUAGGGGAGCAAACGGG